UAAACAUUUAGAACAUUCUAGAGAGAGAAAGGGAGGAGAAAUUUAGAGAGAAAUCAAUUUUGACCAAAAUCUAAGCCCCGAAUCGCGAAGCUCAUGAAGGGAAAAGUGUUGUACGCUGCGCUGUCUUCAAUUUGAGCUAAAAAUCAACCAAGGAGGAGGGUGAUAACGUGGUGGCUGAAUUCUUAAGAUUUUGGCGAAUUUGAAACUUGAUUUUGGAGACGUGUAUGAAGCGGAAAAGGUCAACAGACAGACGGGUUUAAUCCCUAGGAGCUUCACCGGCUGUUCCUUGAGAGUGCUCCAGUUGAUCCGGAGCUUCAGCCUAUUGGUACUACUUUUGUGUAUAUAAUCGGGCACGGCAGAACCCGGCCCUUUCUAUGUAUAUAUGCACUUUGUUUAGAGGCUCGUAGACAGAUAUGUACAGUUAGAUGUUUUGUACUUUGGAUUGUCCUCGUCGCUGUAUAACGUGCUAACAAAGUUUAUUAGCCUAUGUUUAUAAAUAGCUACUAAUGUUAAUGUUCAGUAACAAAAAAAAAAUAUACGGUAUAGUCUAUACGGCCC